UGAAAAUUCAAAAUUAAAUUUAAAGCGCAUCAAUCGGAUCAAGACGAGGCACAUGGGCUUGCGCCCAUGCCCCCACUAGUAAAAAAUCCUUAUAAGUGGCUCAUCAAAAGUUGCCCUUGUCAAACAAGGGCAACCUUUAAAAAAUAAAAAAAUAAAAACAUUAAAAAAAAAUUCUGAAAUAUUUUCCCUCCUAAACGUUAAGCGCAGCUUUUGCCCUAACAUUUUGCUCCCCUUCAUUCUUUUCUCUCUCGCAGUACACUCCUCCAUACUUCUCCUCCAGAAUUCAUCACCGGCCACCUUCACCACCGGCCAGCAUCAACACCGGCUUAUAAGUCACUCUUCGUCGGCCGUUCUUCGCAGUCAAUCUUCGUUGGCCGUUCGUCGCAGCAGCAGCCCGAGUCUAGCUGCGUCCUCCUCUACGUCAUCUUCACCGGCGACGAGGCUUCUGAUGAGGAAAUGUACGAUCUUGUCCGUGAAGGUGUAGUUAUUUUUACUGGAGCUAUGGCAAAACAUUUGGGAAAGGAUGACCCUAAAGUCCAUUCGGUUGUUGAGAAGUUGCUUGGUGUGCUCAAUACUCACUCUGAAGUUGUGCAGAGGGCUGUCUCGUCUUGCUUGUCUCCACUAAUGUCAUCUAAAUAGGGUCACAAAUUUAUUGAAAAAAAGAUUCCAGUAUGCAAAGGUAAGAUUUUCAAGCAAAAAUCAGCCACAAACACUUGCCCUAUUAGCCGAAAUUUAUUGUUAAGGGCGAUUCUAGUUGGUCAAGCUUAAGGCGGAUCCGGACGUGCUGUGGACUAUCUACGGAGGGACGACACUUGGAGUCCUAAAGACUUGUUCUUGUUCGGUUCGGGCGCAGCUAGGGAGGGCACGCUGCAAAGUGUAUGCAUCUGAAUUAUGCUAAAUGAUUAUGUGUAAAUAAUAUGUUUCCUGGCAUUAAGUUUUUCCGCAUGAUUUAUGUUUUGUCAUAUGUAUCAUAACCUAACAGUGGUAUCAGAGCCUCUUAUUAUUUUCAUAAUCUAAAUUGCAUGACAUGGUUAAAUUUUACAAAUUUGCAAAGAAUUAAAAAGGGUGAUUAAUUUUCGUAAUUGUUAAUUAAUUGCAAAUUGCGUUUAUUUAAUUAUAUGUACGUAGUUUUUCGGCAGAAUAUUCGUUACUUAUCCACAUCGAGUGAUUUUUGUAUCAAUUCCGCAUGUAAAAGGCAUUCUAAAAUUUUGACAAAAACAUUAUUUUUCGGCCGAACCCAGAAUUCCCAAAUUCGAAGCCUA